GAAAAGUCACGCCUUGCGAAUUUUAUUGAAGACUUAGUUGUUAGUUUUGCAUGGGAACGUGUGACAGGUUAAAGGACAUAUUCAUAGCCUGUUAUACAUUGAAAAGUAUUAGUAAGUUCAUAGUAUGUGAGGAUCUUAAAACAUCUAAGGUUAAAAAGAUGCAUUCAGUAUUAGUUGAUAGAGAUUGAUAACAUUCAUAUAAUUGUGUUAAAGUUCAAAUCUGUCAAAGGGUACGAAUUGUGAGAGUAAUGUGUAAACGUUAUAUUGAUUACUUUAUUUUGUGGUGCCUAAAAGUGUUAAUCUGUGAUCUACGAAAUGCUCUUAAUCUAUGAGCCGGAGAUCGAUUGCUCUGGUCUCCACGCAUAUUCCUGGGGAAAUUCGCGGUCUUUUCUCAUUGAACUAAAUGUUGACUUGAGAAUACAACACCGUAUCACUCUCGUGAUUAUCUCUCCCCUGGUUUCAGGUACUUUAUUGAUGAUAAAAAUAGUAAUUUAAAUGUUAUAACUAGCGAACAUGUCAAGAGUGUUUAAGGUGUGUUUUAGUAACGUCUUGAGGAAGUUAGAGUUAAGGUUGAAGAGAGUAAUAUUAGCCCUGCUCGGUUGAAGUGAAGGAUAGCGUCGUACUGAGAGUAGCUGCCAUUUUAUGUCGAUUGUGAAUGAACAUGCGUGUUGUUAAUAAGAUAUUUUGCUGUGUUAUUUGUAUAAUGGGUUUUCUGUUAUGUAAUGUGUUACUUUUGUGAAAUGAUUGAACUAAAUGUUGACUUGAGAAUACAA